UACGUAGGGGGCAAGCGUUGUCCGGAUUUAUUGGGCGUAAAGAGCGUGUAGGCGGCCAAGCAGGUCCGCUGUGAAAACUCGAGGCUCAACCUCGAGACGUCGGUGGAAACCGUUUGGCUAGAGUCCGGAAGAGGAGAGUGGAAUUCCCGGUGUAGCGGUGAAAUGCGCAGAUAUCGGGAAGAACACCCGUGGCGAAGGCGGCUCUCUGGGCCUGUACUGACGCUGAGGAGCGAAAGCUAGGGGAGCGAACGGG
rnacentral:rRNA from 1 species